rnacentral:rRNA from 1 species
UUGGAGGGCAAGUCUGGUGCCAGCAGCCGCGGUAAUUCCAGCUCCAAUAGCGUAUAUUAGAGUUGUUGCAGUUAAAAAGCUCGUAGUUGAAUUUCGGGGUCAGUAGGUUGGUCGUGCCACUGGUAUGCACUGGUCUCACUGAUUCCUCCUUCCUAAUGAACCGUAAUGCCAUUAAUUUGGUGUUGCGGGGAAUCUGGACUGUUACUUUGAAAAAAUUAGAGUGUUUAAAGCAGGCUAACGCUUGAAUACAUUAGCAUGGAAUAAUAAAAUAGGACGAUCGAUCCUAUUUUGUUGGUUUCUAGGAUUGACGUAAUGAUUAAUAGGGAUAGUUGGGGGCAUUAGUAUUCAAUUGUCAGAGGUGAAAUUCUUGGAUUUAUUGAAGACUAACUACUGCGAAAGCAUUUGCCAAGGAUGUUUUCAUUAAUCAAGAACGAAAGUUAGGGGAUCGAAGACGAUCAGAUACCGUCGUAGUCUUAACCAUAAACUAUGCCGACUAGGGAUCGGAUGAUGUUAAUUUUUUAAUGACUCAUUCGGCGCCUUACGGGAAA